rnacentral:rRNA from 1 species
GGCUGAAAUUCGCCUUCAUGAAGCCGGAAUUGCUAGUAAUGGCAGGUCAGCAUACUGCCGUGAAUACGUUCCCGGGUCUUGUACACACCGCCCGUCACACCAUGGGAGUCGGUAACACCCAAAGUUGGUAGCCUAACCGCAAGGAGGGCGCCGCCUAAGGUGGGAUUGAUGACUGGGGUGAAGUCGUAACAAGGUAUC